UACGUAGUUGGCAAGCGUUGUCCGGAUUUAUUGGGCGUAAAGCGCUCGCAGGUGGUUCGUCGCGUCGUGCGUGAAAGACCCCGGCUCAACUGGGGGAGGUCGUGCGAUACGGGCGGACUGGAGGCCAGUAGGGGGAUGCGGAAUUCCGGGUGUAGUGGUGGAAUGCGUAGAGAUCCGGAGGAACACCAGCGGCGAAGGCGACAUCCUGGACCAACACUGACGCUGAGUGAGCGAAAGCCAGGGGAGCAAACGGG
rnacentral:rRNA from 1 species